CCUACGGGGGUCAGCAGUGAGGAAUAUUGGUCAAUGGGCGCGAGCCUGAACCAGCCACGUAGCGUGAAGGAUGACUGCCCUACGGGUUGUCAACUUCUUUUAUAAAGGCAUAAAGUGAGGCACGUGUGCCUUUUUGUAUGUACUUUAUGAAUAAGGAUCGGCUAACUCCGUGCCAGCAGCCGCGGUAAUACGGAGGAUCCGAGUGUUAACCGGAUUUAUUGGGUUUAAAGGGAGCGUAGAUGGGUUGUUAAGUCAGUUGUGAAAGUUUGCGGCACAACCGUAAAAUUGCAAUUGAUACUGGCAGUCUUGAGUACAGUUGAGGUAGGCGGAAUUCGUGGUGGAGCGGUGAAAUGCUUAGAUAUCACGAAGAACUCCGAUUGCGAAGGCAGCUUACUAAACUGCCACUGACAUUGAUGCUAGAAAGUGUGGGUAUCAAACAGGAUUAGAUCCUGGUAGUC
rnacentral:rRNA from 1 species